UAGGUAACACAAAUGAGUGACCUUUCACUGUCAAUUUGACGUAUACGAAAUAACCUACAAAAUUUAAAGUAAAAUAUCAAACACAAUCUAAAAAUUGAAUUGAGUUGAAGUAAAAUGUUAACGUUAGAUUAUUCUGCAAUUCUUUUAAUAUCAAUGAACAUCGCACAAAUGCUAAAUUACAUGAAUUUUCUAAAUUGAUGGGAAACUACGAAUUGAUUGAUAUUACAUUUACAAGUGAACCUGAGCCCGAACCGGAACCCAUGUUUAUAAUUGAUGAGUCUAUAGAUGAGGACGAAUCAGUUCACUGGCCGUCUAUGGUCGAAUUAAAUAAAACUGAACAUACACGGAUAAAAACUUUUUUUAAAGAAACAAAGAAGAAGACCAACGGUGAUAUAAAAGAACCCACAGAUUCAGAAAAGAAAAAAUCUGAAAGCAAAGACAAAGCUACUGAUUCUAAAGCCGUUGCGCAAAUAAGCGAGGAUCCAAGCCCUGAAGAAGAAAUUGAAAUUCAAAAGGAAACAUCAAAAAAAGAGAAUCAAAAAGAAGGCAGUACGGACCAGUCCGGGCCAUCUGAUAAGGCAGAAAAAUGAUAAACAUAUUCAGUGCAUUUAUUGGUAUAUUACUGUUUGUAGAAAUCGUUUUUGUAGUAGCAUUGCUAAAAAGCCUGUCGCAGAACCGUGCGUUAUAAGAGAUGUUUGGUGUAAAUUAUUAGAAAGUACAAACAAUCCAUCAAGGAUGUUAGUACUCAUGUUAUUGUUGAUGUUUUGUAAUACAUUUUUAGAAUUAUCCUACGAGAAAAAGUCCUACGCGCACCUACUAGAUGAUGUCAAAGAUAAUCAACUAAUAUUAGAAUUUUACUUAUGCAAGGUGUCUAUUUGUUACACAUGUUUCUUUAUAGGUCUGUAUCUUCUUAUGUUGAUUGAGAGAAUAGUUCAUUUUCUAGUCACAAUAGCUAGGUUGUUAGAGUUCGAACUGAUGUGUAGACAUGCAAUACUAACAAGAGAAGACGCGACGCAAAUGUCCAACACAACGAUAGUAUUGACAAAUUUGUACAAUGGCACCAUUAAUCUGCACGCCAAACGUAAAAGCGCUACGAACAAAUGAUUUUGUUGCUUCGCAACUCUGGUGACGGUUUUUUGUGAAAUAAAUUUUAUCGAAUGGAAA